rnacentral:rRNA from 1 species
GAUGAACGCUAGCGGCAGGCCUAAUACAUGCAAGUCGGACGGGAUUCCGGAGCUUGCUUCUGAUGAGAGUGGCGCACGGGUGCGUAACACGUAUGUAACCUACCUUUAUCAGGGGGAUAGCCCCUCGAAAGAGAGAUUAAGCCCGCAUAAAAUCACAGCACAGCAUUGUGUAAUGAUCAAAUAUUUAUAGGAUAAAGAUUGGCAUGCGGAACAUUAGCUAGAUGGCGGGGUUACGGCCCACCAUGGCGACGAUGUUUAGGGGAUCUGAGAGGAUGGCCCCCCAGAGUGGUACCGGGGAACUGACCACUGUGCUACGGGAGAGAGCAGUAAGGAAGGCAGGGGAAGGGACGGUAGCCUAACCCAGCCGUGCCGGGUGCAGGAACACGGCGCUCGGGAUGGUAGACUGCUUGUAGACGAGAAUUAUCCCAGAUACGGGUAUCCGACUGACGGUACUGGAUGAAUAAGGAUCGGCUAACUCCGUG